AUUGCCCCCCUCAAAUUUUCAAUUCAAACCUUCCACCCCUUUCGAAAUUUCUAUUCAACCUCCCCUUCAAAAUUUCAAUCAACCCCAAAUUCGUCCCCCUACUUCAAAAUUUAAAUUCAACCCCCCCCCCCCCCCAACUUCAAAUUUUCAAUUCAUCCUCCACCCAUUUCAAAAUUUAAAUUUAACCAACCCUCUACUUCAAAUUUUUCAUUCAACCCCCUCUCAAAAUUUCAAUUCAACCACCCACUUCAAAUUUCAAUUCAAUACACAUUCAAAUUUUCCAUUUCACAAGCAAAAAUCUAUUCCUAAACAAAAUCCUAAAACAACUUUUUUAAAAAAACUAAAUAAACCUAAAAAUUAAGGAUUUUAAAACUUACCUCAAUGUGCAACAGUAGCAAACGACGGGAGAGGGACGACGGCGAGAGAACUGGAGGAAUUCGACGGGGAAUUCCCGACGCAGCAUGAAAACGUCAAGAGAUCUCCUUUCUCCCGACACCAUUUCCUACGGAUAACUAAUGGCGUCGAAAAUUUUACAUUACUCCUGACGCACCAAAGUAGCGUCGGUAGAGAACCUUACUCCCGACUCAUUUUUCGACGCCAUGCAGCAUGCGUCGGGAAUAUAUGUCUGACAAAAUUAAUGUUAUGUAAUUUUCGAAGAUUCGUUCCCGACACAUACAUGCCACAUCGGGAUAACAUGUUAUUCCCUACGUUGUUUUCGACGUCUAUGUCACAGCGUCGGAAAAAGUUGUCUAUCCCAACGUGUGAAAGCGUGCGUCGGAAUAUUGUUCAUUCCCAACGAAUUUGUUGCCGACGCCUUUCUUUGCAUUUGAAGAACACCGAUAUUAUGACAUUUUGGUUGGUAUAGUUAGUUGACAAUGUUAACCGACUAUAUUAAAGUUUAGGAUAGAAAGUGUUUUACAAAAUUUUUAAAAAAUAACAAAUAAAUUAUGUAACUAAGUUCCCCUAAGAGGAAAGUCAAACAGGGGACAAUCGUCUCCUUAGAUUUUUAAA